AUGAACGCUAGCUACAGGCUUAACACAUGCAAGUCGAGGGGCAGCAUUUUAGUUUGCUUGCGAACUGAAGAUGGCGACCGGCGCACGGGUGAGUAACACGUAUCCAACCUGCCGAUAACUCCGGAAUAGCCUUUCGAAAGAAAGAUUAAUACCGGAUAGCAUACGAAUAUCGCAUGAUAUUUUUAUUAAAGAAUUUCGGUUAUCGAUGGGGAUGCGUUCCAUUAGUUUGUUGGCGGGGUAACGGCCCACCAAGACUACGAUGGAUAGGGGUUCUGAGAGGAAGGUCCCCCACAUUGGAACUGAGACACGGUCCAAACUCCUACGGGAGGCAGCAGUGAGGAAUAUUGGUCAAUGGGCGAGAGCCUGAACCAGCCAAGUAGCGUGAAGGAUGAAGGCUCUAUGGGUCGUAAACUUCUUUUAUAUGGGAAUAAAGUUUUCCACGUGUGGAAUUUUGUAUGUACCAUAUGAAUAAGGAUCGGCUAACUCCGUGCCAGCAGCCGCGGUAAUACGGAGGAUCCGAGCGUUAUCCGGAUUUAUUGGGUUUAAAGGGAGCGUAGGUGGAUUGUUAAGUCAGUUGUGAAAGUUUGCGGCUCAACCGUAAAAUUGCAGUUGAAACUGGCAGUCUUGAGUACAGUAGAGGUGGGCGGAAUUCGUGGUGUAGCGGUGAAAUGCUUAGAUAUCACGAAGAACUCCGAUUGCGAAGGCAGCUCACUAGACUGUCACUGACACUGAUGCUCGAAAGUGUGGGUAUCAAACAGGAUUAGAUACCCUGGUAGUCCACACAGUAAACGAUGAAUACUCGCUGUUUGCGAUAUACAGUAAGCGGCCAAGCGAAAGCAUUAAGUAUUCCACCUGGGGAGUACGCCGGCAACGAUGAAACUCAAAGGAAUUGACGGGGGCCCGCACAAGCGGAGGAACAUGUGGUUUAAUUCGAUGAUACGCGAGGAACCUUACCCGGGCUUAAAUUGCAACAGAAUAUAUUGGAAACAGUAUAGCCGUAAGGCUGUUGUGAAGGUGCUGCAUGGUUGUCGUCAGCUCGUGCCGUGAGGUGUCGGCUUAAGUGCCAUAACGAGCGCAACCCUUAUCUUUAGUUACUAACAGGUCAUGCUGAGGACUCUAGAGAGACUGCCGUCGUAAGAUGUGAGGAAGGUGGGGAUGACGUCAAAUCAGCACGGCCCUUACGUCCGGGGCUACACACGUGUUACAAUGGGGGGUACAGAAGGCGGCUACCUGGUGACAGGAUGCUAAUCCCAAAAACCUCUCUCAGUUCGGAUCGAAGUCUGCAACCCGACUUCGUGAAGCUGGAUUCGCUAGUAAUCGCGCAUCAGCCAUGGCGCGGUGAAUACGUUCCCGGGCCUUGUACACACCGCCCGUCAAGCCAUGAAAGCCGGGGGUACCUGAAGUACGUAACCGCAAGGAGCGUCCUAGGGUAAAACUGGUAAUUGGGGCU
rnacentral:rRNA from 1 species